GUUGUUUUGGCCGAGUGGUUAAGGCCGUGGACUAGAAAUCCAUUUGGGUUUCCCCGCGCAUGUUCAAAUCCUGUCGACAACG
rnacentral:tRNA from 1 species